AGUGAACGCUGGCGGUAGGCCUAACACAUGCAAGUCGAACGGCAGCACAGUAAGAGCUUGCUCUUACGGGUGGCGAGUGGCGGACGGGUGAGGAAUACAUCGGAAUCUACUUUUUCGUGGGGGAUAACGUAGGGAAACUUACGCUAAUACCGCAUACGACCUACGGGUGAAAGCAGGGGAUCUUCGGACCUUGCGCGAUUGAAUGAGCCGAUGUCGGAUUAGCUAGUUGGCGGGGUAAAGGCCCACCAAGGCGACGAUCCGUAGCUGGUCUGAGAGGAUGAUCAGCCACACUGGAACUGAGACACGGUCCAGACUCCUACGGGAGGCAGCAGUGGGGAAUAUUGGACAAUGGGCGCAAGCCUGAGCCAGCCAGACCACGUGGGUGAAGAAGGCCUUCGGGUUGUAAAGCCGUUUUGUUGGGAAAGAAAAGCAGCAGGUUAAUACCCCGCUGUUCUGACGGGACCAAAAGAAUAAGCACCGGCUAACUUCGUG
rnacentral:rRNA from 1 species